UCCACGCCCAGGAUCCGAACCCUGGGCCGCCUCAGCGGAGCGCGCAAACUUAACUACUCAGCCACGGAGCCGGCUCCCCCUUAGGUUUUUUGUGUUGAUGAGGAAAGGGUUGAGCUUCCUGUAUGGGGGAGAAAUUAGAGCUGGGUUAAGAGAAUUACCAAUAAAAUGUGCAAACCAGUCGCAAGGCUGUUUGCUGUGAUGUUUGCCACACUCUCCCACUAGGAGGCAGUGUCACUGCUCUUUUAAGUCUGCCCGCCUCAUCCACCUCUAAGGCUGCGAGCACUAGAUCACUUAGAUAUAGGGGGGACGAUGGGGGAGGAGGAGGGAUAAGGCAUUGGGCAGUGUGAAGAAGCAGUUUUCUGCUCCGAGUGUUGGGGAACCUCCCUAGGCCUUAGUUCUUGCCUCUGUAAAAUAGGACCAGUGCUCAUUAGAACUUCACGUGGGACCUGUUAAAAGCAGAUGGCCAGCCCCGCCCCCAGGGGCUGUGGUUUGUGCUUCCGGAGAUGGGCAGGGCAGGUGCACGUGUCUCCCAGCGCUCUCCAGACGCUGCGACACCCAGCCAGGCUGGCCCUCGGUACUGGCUCUCCCAGACUGGUCAGAGGAUGAGAGUGGACAGUCUUCUGCCUUCUGUCUCACAGAAACUGCUCCUUAAAGGUUUGAAGGUGCCCCAGGAUCACUUGCUCUCUCUUGGAUCACUUGCUCCGGGGAAGCCAGCUGCCAUGUUGUGAAGACACUUAGGAGGCCUUUUGAGAAGUCUACCUGGUGAGGAACUGAGGCCUCCGGGCAACAGUAAUGUAAGAAAGACAUCUGGGAAGAGGACCCUACAGCCCCAGUGAAGCCCCAGAUGACUGUAGCCUGGACAACAUCUUAUUUUUUUAAAUUGAAAUAUAAUUCACAUAUCAUAAAAUUUGUCCUUUUAAAAUAUAAAUAUACUGGUUUCUAGUAAAUUCACAAGAUUAUGCAACCAUAACUACUAUAUAAUUCCAGGACAUGCUCAUCACCCCCAAAAGAAGCCUCAUACCUGUUCUCUCCCAAUUCACUCCCCAUUCUCCCACCCUCAGCCCCUGCCAACCACUAAUCUACUUCUAGUUCUUAUGGGUUUGCCUGGAAACUUCAUGUAAAUGGAAUCGUAUGAUAUGUGGCCUUUUCUGUCUGGCUCUUUCACGUAGCAUAAUGUCUUCAAGGUUCAUCCGUGUUGUAGCAGGUAUCAGUACUUCAUUCCUUUGUAUGGAGGAAUAAUAUUCCAUUGUAUGGAUAAUACCACAUUGUGUUUAUAUAUUCAUCAGUUUAUAAACAUUUGGUUGUUUCAUUUUUUACCUAUUGUGAAUAAUGCAGCUAUGAACAUAUAUUAAAGUUUUUGUGUGGGCAUAUGUUUCUACUUCUCUUGGGUGUGCAACUGUUGGGUCAUGUGGUAAUUUGAUGUUUAACUUUUUGAAGAAUUGCCAAACUGAUUUCAAAGUGAGCGCACCAUUUUAUAUUCCCACCAGCAAUGUAUGAGGGUUCCAAUUUCUCCACGUUCUCAGUAAAACUUAUCAAUUGCCUUUUUUUGAUGAAGCCAUA